UGACCGCAGGUGCUCUGACGAGGUUGCACUACUGUGCUCUUAGAAGCAGUGCAAUGACAUUGUCAAAGCAUCUAGGAUCCGC
rnacentral:pre_miRNA from 1 species